rnacentral:misc_RNA from 1 species
AAGUCGUAACAAGGUCUCCGUAGGUGAACCUGCGGAGGGAUCAUUAAUGAGUGAGGGGGCCCCAAACCCCCAACCUCCAACCCUUUGUGAACGCAUCAUGUUGCUUCGGGGGCGACCCUGCCGUCCGCGGCAUUCCCCCCGGAGGUCAUCAAAACACUGCAUUCUUACGUCGGAGUAAAAAGUUAAUUUAAUAAAACUUUCAACAACGGAUCUCUUGGUUCUG